UUCCAUCUUUUCUCGUUGGCCGAGUCUUUUGCCCACUUUUAGAUGUUAAUCCUUUCCCCCUGUUUUAGGAAUUGUUUAAUGUUGGAGAGUGUGUUAAAUGGUUGAGCUAUGUUAGAUUGUGAUUCUGUGAAUCUUCUUGCUGUAUAUAUUGGAAUAUAGAGUUUCUAGAUUAAAUUUUGUAGGUUUACUUGAAAAAAACUGAGCUUGAUGAAUUCAAUUUGUGUGUGUGUGUGUGUGUGUGAAAUGAAAAGGGUGGCUUUACCUUGAAAUUUUGCUACUAUUUCCUAGUUAUGGAAGCAGUCAACUUUGCAGAAUUUAAUUGGAAAGUUCAUAUGCAAAAAUGUCAAUUUGUGUGUGUGAGAGAGAUGGUAUUGGUAGAAUCAUGGAAUGAAAAGGAUGGCUUUACUUUGAAAUUUUGUUACUAUUUGCUAGAUAUGGAAGUAAUCAACUUUGCAGGAAUUUGGAUAGAGUUUAUACAUUAAAUUUUAGUAUAGUUUUACAUGAAAAAGAAUGAGCUUGAUUGAUGAAUUCAAUUUGUGUGUGUGAGAGAGAGAGUCUCAGUGUAGUGAUGGUAUUGGUAGGAUCAUGGAAUGAAAAGGAUGACUUUACCUUGAAAUUUUGUUAUUUGGUAGCUAUGGAAGAUAUCAGCUUUGCAGGAUUAUAGAAGGCACAUGCUGCUGCUGCUGAAACUAAUCAGCCGGAAUGGUGGGAAAAGAAUGCUGGCCCGAAUAUGAUUGACAUUAAAUCAACACAAGAAUUUGUAGACGCGCUGAGUCAGGCUGGAGAUAGAUUGGUCAUAGUUGAAUUCUUUGGUGCGUGGUGUGCUUCUUGUCGAGCUCUAUUUCCCAAAGUUUGCCGAGCAAUACCCAGAAAUCAUUUUCCUUAAGGUGAACUUCGAUGAGAACAAGCCCCUCUGUAAAAGCCUAAACAUAAAGGUUCUUCCGUAUUUCCACUUCUACAAGGGAGCUGAUGGCUUGGUCGACUCGUUCUCAUGCUCUCUUGCCAAGGUAAGCCCUCACACAAUCCUCAUUCUAUUCGAACAACAGCUACUUAUCUUAUGUGACCAAAUGAACAUUUGUCGAUUUACACUUAGAGUUAUUCGGAACUGUUGCUUGAUCCCUUUUGCCUAUCUUGGUCGAUUUGGACAUCGAAUGAUGUCUACUUAGCCUGUAAUCUUAUGCAGCUCCAGAAACUGAAGGAUUCCAUCGCGACUCAUAACAAAGCUCGACAUAGCAAUAGCACCCCGGAUUCUAAUGGUGGCGUUGGUGAUAGCGUGGAUGUAUCUGCAUCUCGCGAUGACAUGCAAUUGUGACCCGAAUUCGAGU